CCAACCGCUAAAACGAAAGCCAAUAUGCUCUUUUUUGUCUACCACCCGCUCAAAUGGAAGGGAGAGGGGUCAACUGAGAAGAGUGCAGGCUUGCGGAGCUUUGAAGAAUUCCAUCUCAAAAUGCAGAUUCCCCUGGGAGAGGCCUCUUCCAGUCUCAAGGAGAACAGAGGUGGCAAGUGUAUGGCUCUGCACUCUGCAGCUGCAUUUGUAAACACGGCAUUUGGAAGGAAAAAAAUCCUGGCCCAGAGCCGCCUUUUUCCCUGAUGCCCUGAGAACUGUUGCAGGUCCUUUCCCAAAGCUACAUCUGUGAAAGGCCGAACUGGCAGGAACAAUUCUCAAUGCACAAGUGUCUGGGAUGCCAGGCAGAUGAAGAGCUCAGGCGAGCAGAGAGAAAAGCCCCAGGCCCCUCCCUCUCUCAACAGGAACUUCAAGGGUGCAGACAUCGGAGCCUAAGUUUUAGACCACACGUAUGUUUUCACUCUGUCUUAGGAUGUUGAGAUAUGUUAAUAUCGACAAAAGGACAAAUCAGUAAAGUAACAAAUUGGCAUUCUGUUCUAUGAAUUGGGAUAUAAGCAUUUUGGCUAGAAGACCAUUUCCUGAGUUUCAGCUCCUCAGACCUGCAGGAACCUGGCACAGAAGGGAGAGACUUCAGGCUAUCCUUCAACCACCAUCUCUAGCUACAAGUCCAGCUAACAGAGUCACUAGGGAGCCAGAACCAAGGAAAUCAGAACAAGCUUUAAGAAGCAAGAAAACUGGGGCGCCUGGGUGGCUCAGUCAUUAAGCGUCUGCCUUUGGCUCGGGUCCUGAUCCCAGGGUCCUGGGAUCGAGCCCCGCAUCGGGCUCCCUGCUCCGUGGGAAGCCUGCUUCUCCCUCUCCCACUCCCCCUGCUUGUGUUCCCUCUCUCGCUGUAUCUCUCUCUGUCAAAUAAACAAAAUCUUUAAAAAAAAAAAAAAAAGAAGAAGCAAGAAAACCCCAAGAAA